AUUGAACGCUGGCGGCAGGCCUAACACAUGCAAGUCGAGCGGAUGAAGGGAGCUUGCUCCUGGAUUCAGCGGCGGACGGGCGAGUAAUGCCUAGGAAUCUGCCUGGUAGUGUGGUAUAACGUCCGGAAACGGGCGCUAAUACCGCAUACGUCCUGAGGGAGAAAGUGGGGGAUCUUCGGACCUCACGCUAUCAGAUGAGCCUAGGUCGGAUUAGCUAGUUGGUGGGGUAAAGGCCUACCAAGGCGACGAUCCGUAACUGGUCUGAGAGGAUGAUCAGCCACACUGGAACUGAGACACGGUCCAGACUCCUACGGGAGGCAGCAGUGGGGAAUAUUGGACAAUGGGCGAAAGCCUGAUCCAGCCAUGCCGCGUGUGUGAAGAAGGUCUUCGGAUUGUAAAGCACUUUUAGUUGGGAGGAAGGGCAGUAAGUUAAUACCUUGCUGUUUUGACGUUACCAACAGAAUAAGCACCGGCUAACUUCGUG
rnacentral:rRNA from 1 species